AAAGAAGACAAGAAGAGAAAAUGCAAGGGAGUCUGGGUCAAUUAAUUGCCUACCAGAGCACUGCCCUAUGUAUUUCAAGCAGGGAAAACGGAAGAGGGCUGACUGGUUUACUCUCAUGUAUUUCCUAUUCUGUCUGGUUGGCUUGCUGCUUAAAAAUCAGAAUACAGAAGAGAAGACAGUCUUGUGGAGGGUCAAAGGAGCCACUGUUUGUAGUUAUUUGGGAUCUUUGAGGAAACCCCUGCUAAAAUAACUUGAUUGGAGAUUUUCCUUAGUCUGGACCAAACCUUCCCAUUAUUGGACACAGAUGGUCAGCUAGUAAUCAAUCAUCUAUAAUUAUGCUUUGGAAAAACCUCAUGAGCAAAGACCCUCGACUUGUAGUCAAAGCUACAAUUUAUGUCAAGCAGCUCCAUUAGAUGUCUCAUUUCCCAGCCAUCAGGAGGAGGAAAGAGGGAAUGAAGAACAAGCUUCUUCCUGUGGGUGUGACCCAGAGGUUGUUCGUGUCACUUCUAUUCACAUUUGCUUGUGUAGAACUUACACAAUCAUACUUAACUUCAAGAAAGAUUGGGCAACAUAGUUUAUAGCGGGGAGGAUUUAUGCCCUGAAAUUGAUGGUGUCAUCUUUUCAUCUUCCCUCUCUCACCAUUAGCAUGUAAUCUGUAACUGAAUUUGAACAAUCCAACUUCCAAAUGAUUUCCAUUUUUCUCCAUAUUCCUAACAACACUUUAGUCUAAAGCGUCCUCAUCCUUGCCUAGUUUACUACAAUAACCUAAUUGGUCAGCGUGCUUCCAUUCUUGCCCCACCAAGUCAUUUCUGACACCGUGGCCGCUAAUUCUUAAGAAUAGAAACCAAAUCAUCACUCUUCUUUAAGGCCUUUAGUGUCUAUUUCCAUAGAAUAAAAUCCAUACCCUGCACCAUGAGCCGUAAGACCUGGCAAUGACCUGGCUCUAGUGUACCCAGUGCUAUCCUUGCACCAUGCUUUCCACCAGUCACUAUGUUCUGGCUUCUCUGGCCUCCACCUUUUUCUAGAACACAUUGAUCCUUUCCCCACCUCAGGCCCUUAUCCCUGCUAUUCUUCAUCCUGUAAAACUUUUGCUGGGAUCUCCGCGUGGCUGGCUCGCCCUCAUCUCUUGGCACUCAGCACAAAUGUCAUCUAUUUUGAGAAUCUUUCCUGACUGCCCUUUGUAAAGCAGCAUGUCUUGUUCCCAGUGACUCUUUAUUGCAUUACUUUAUUUAUUUUCUUCAUAGCAUUUAUUAAAUUAUAUAAUAAUCCUGUU
rnacentral:lncRNA from 1 species